UGGAGAGUGAAAACCCACUGUGC
rnacentral:piRNA from 1 species